CCUGAGUGAUAUCACCUCUAAUACAGCUAACCUGAGUGAUAUCACCUCUAAUACAGCUAACCUGAGUGAUAUCACCUCUAAUACAGCUAACCUGAGUGAUAUCACCUCUAAUACAGCUGACCUGAGUGAUAUCACCUCUAAUACAGCUGACCUGAGUGAUAUCACCUCUAAUACAGCUGACCUGAGGGCCAGUUUGUUGGUGCCGUCAUGCAACUACCUCUCAUUGUCAUGCCAAAUACAGGGAUCUGCCUAAAUCUAGGAAAACCCAAUAUACAGGGUGGGUUGCACCAACAUGGAGGAACUCUUAAGCCUUCAUUUAACCCAGUUUCAUCUUCAUCUUGUUGCACCAAACUUUAAAUCUAUUUUUAAAUGAAUCCUAGUUAAAAUGAAUCCUUCUUCUAAUCAUAAGUUUUAGUUUUCACUUUAAACCUAGAGUCAUUUUAAGCUUGAAUAUAAACUUAGAUUGGAGAUUCUGAACUGCCAUUUGAUGUGGUUGAACUGAUAAAAUGACAGGAUAUCGACUGUGGAGAGACCAGAACGACAGAGUUCCUCAGAGAACAUUACGAGACAGGUUGUAUCCUGUUGAGUUUUUUUUAUAAUGAUGAGUUUUCAAGGAGAUGCCGCUUCUCCAAGGAAUCUGUAAUGCAACUGGAAAGAAAGGUUGGACCAAGCGUGGGAACGACGGUAACGAGGAUGUACCCCUACUACUUCAGCUCCUGAUGACUCUACGGUUCUAUGUAACUGGAUGUUUCCAGAUGGUGGAUGGAUGUGGACCUUUCUGGACUCCACAAGUCAACCGUCUACAGGAUUGUAGUGUCCAGUGCUUUUGCCGGCCUGAAGAACGAGUACAUCAGGUUCAGUCCUACAGAGGAAACAGCAGCUGGAUUUUGAGAUGAAAGCUAGAUUCCCGUGUGUACUAUGGGCAAUAGACUGGACACACAUUCCUAUUCCGAACCCUGGUGGUGGGAAUGGAGAACUAUUCUGUAAUCAGAAAGGUUACUGCUCCGUCAACAUGCAGGCUGUCUGUGAUGUCAAAGGUCAGCUCACCAACAUCCUAGCAAGACGGCCAGGAUCCACCCAUGACAGCAGAUACUUUGACAAUAGUCGUCUGUGUGCAAUGCUGGAACGGGGAGCAUAUGAAGGCCCCCUACUACGUAACAAUGGAUAUUCUUGUCAUGGGAACCUUAUGACUCCCCUUUUAAACCCCCAGACACCUGAAGAGAGACAAUCCACCACCUCAUAUCCUGACAAGAGAUCUCAUAGAGAGAGAAUGCACCACCUCUCAUAUCCUGACAAGAGAUCUCAUAGAGAGAGAACACACCACCUCUCAUAUCCUGACAAUAGAUUUCAUAGAGAGAGAACACACCACCUCUCAUAUCCUGACAAGAGAUCUCAUAGAGUUUUUGUAGUAUGGAAGAAAAGAUUCCCUCCCCUACAGGUGGUGCUCUGCAUGAAGAUGGACACUACACUGACAAUCACUAUUGCAGUGGAAGUUCUGUAUAACUUUAGCAAGAGACAAGGAGACAAGCUACCUGAGGAGGCUGAGGAGGACCUACCUGAGGAGGAUGAGGAGAAUGGAGAAGAUGGCCAGGUGCAACAUGCUGUUGAUGUGAAUGCGAUGAGGAGAACUUUGAUUGAGAACCAUUUUUGCAGCCUAACAUGUGUGUGUAUAGUGUAACAUGUAAAAAGCAAUAUUAUAUUUUGACUGACGUGCAAUUCUUAAUAAGACUAUCUGUAUUAAAAUGCAUUAUUAAGUCAUUUGUUAUUCUCGAUCAUAAAGGGGGGAACUGGAAGCACCAGAACAUGAGUGGGGGCACCACAUUGCUAGGGAAAGCAUUGUUUUAAUAAAUAACAAGAUUAGCAUUCUUUCCACAUUUGUUCCCCUGAAGGCGUUUCUGUUUCUGAAUUCGCAGUAGCUCUUUUUUGUAAACUCAGAAUCUCAGUCUGCGGAAUAUUUUUCUCUCCCUCCUGCGCCAAAACAUCAAUAUGAGCUGUUUUAGUCUUGGGUUCUGGGGGCGUUCGAUUGGCCCGGCUAGUUCAAGAUCCAGGCAUUGCUGUUUCUCUACGACAACAGGGUGUCGGCUCAACUGAAGAGAAUCAACUCCUUAUUAGAACUUACCUUCCCAUUUUGUAAUUGAAUUAGAGCUUGUGAUACACCUUGGUAGAAUGAUGACGUUAUGCAACAUGCUGUAACGGGACUGAGAACAGUAACAUUCUAGUGAAAUACUAUUAGCGUUAGUUUCAGUGGUGGAAAAAGUCAUUUCACACUGUUGUAAAAGUAAUGAUAUCUUAAUAGAAAAUAACUCCAGUAAAAGUCAGCCAGUAAAAUACUACUUGAGUAAAAAGUCAAAAGUAUUUGGUUUUAAAUGUUCUUAAGUAUCAAAAGUAAAAGUAUGAAUUAUUUAAUGUUCCUUACAUUAAGAAAUCCAGAUGGCACGGUUUUAUUACAUACAUACAUUGACAGUUUGCCAGUGUCACACUCCAACACUCAGACAUCAUUUACAAAUGAAACAUUUGUGUUUAGUGAGUCUGCCAGAUCAGAUGCAGUGGGGAUGACCAGGGGAUGUUCUCUCGAUAAGUGCCCGAAUUGGACCAGGUUCCUGUCCUGCUAAGUAUUCAAGAAAAUGUAUGGAGUAAAAUGUUGUUUAAGUCUUUUCUUUAGGAAUGUAGUGAAGUAAAAAUAAAAGUUGUCCAAUAUAUAAAUAGUAAAGUACAGAUACCCAAAAAACUGACUUAAGUAGUACUUUAAUAUAUUUUAACUUAAGUACUUUACACCACUGGGUAGUUUUGACAUGCAUUGUAGUCAUUGAUGUUAACCAGUUAUUUAUGCUUACUAAAUAUUGGUGGGACUAGUUGUCCGUUGUCAUCAUAGGGUUAACUGUUCGGGUAUCAUCACAUAUGUCCUGAGAGAGAGACUGUGGUCUGAAAUAUCUUCCGCCUCUCAUCUGCUGCAUUAUUUUUGGCUUUCGCUUUGAAGUUUUUCCCAGCAGCCUUCAUCUGAUUUGUGUCCCUCUCCUCUUUCAUGUCAAUCAUUUAAAUAUGUCGCAUAAAACAGCCCAGGUGUCGUCUUUCAUCCUCCAGUACGUUACUAAAUUCCUCCAUCAGCUCAGUACGUUACUAAAACUAAGUUUACAUACACCUUAGCCAAAUACAUCUAAACUUAGUUUUUCACAAUUCCUGACAUUUAAUCCUAGUAAAAAUCACUUUAUUUUAAGAACAUGAAAUGUCAGAAUAAUAGUAGAGAGAAUGUGGGUCAGAAGUUUACAUACACUCAAUUAGUAUUUGGUAGCAUUGCCUUUAAAUUGUUUAACUUGGGUCAAACAUUUUGGUUAGCCUUCCACAAGCUUCCCACAAUAAAUUGGGUGAAUUUUGGCCCAUUCCUCCUGACAGAGCUGGUGUAACCGAGUCAAGUUUGCAAGGCCUCCUUGCUUGUACACUUUCAGCUCUGCCCACAAAUGUUCUAUAGGAUUGAGGUCAGGGCUUUGUGAUGGACACUCCACUCCAGGUCAGGGCUUUGUGAUGGACACUCCACUCCAGGUCAAGGCUUUGUGAUGGACACUCCACUCCAGGUCAAGGCUUUGUGAUGGACACUCCACUCCAGAUCAGGGCUUUGUGAUGGACACUCCACUCCAGGUCAAGGCUUUGUGAUGGACACUCCACUCCAGGUCAGGGCUUUGUGAUGGACACUCCACUCCAGGUCAGGGCUUUGUGAUGGACACUCCAGGUCAGGGCUUUGUGAUUGGCACUCCACUCCAGAUCAGGGCUUUGUGGUGGACACUCCACACUCUGAUGCCUAUCAGAAGCUUUUAAAGCCAUGACAUCAUUUUCUGGAAUUUUCCAAGCUGUUUAAAGGCACAGUCAACUUAGUGUAUGUAAACUUCUGAUCCACUGGAAUUGUGAUACAGUGAAUUAUAAGUGAAAUAAUCUGUUUGGAAACAAUAGGACAAAUUACUUGUCAUGCACAAAGUAGAUGUCCUAACCGACUUACCAAAACUAUAGUUUGUUAAGAAGAAAUUUGUGGAGUGGUUGAAAAAUAAUUUUUAUUGACUCCAACCUGAGUGUAUGUAAACUUAUGACUUCAACUGUAUAUGCUGUGUAUAGAGCCCCACAUUGGAGGUGUGAUAAUACCCAUACAACCUAGCGGUGAAACAGAGAAAUGGUUCCAGUCUAUUUUCCACCAUUCAUUCUUCCCAUUGGGGAUAGUUAGAAACACUUAAAAUAAGGUCUGUGUUUCAUGUAGGCUUACCCUGGCGUGACAUUUUAUUAACCUGUAAAUCUCUCUUGGACAAGAUUACUUUUAUCAAUAUAUUUGGCUCUAUUUACUCUCAGAUUUGAAAACACUAAUUAGCAUCAAAGUAGAGAUCGUGAAAAACUACAAAUACAUGUUCCUGCACGUCAUCUCUAGCUGACACCAGGUACAUAACAGGUAUUAUGGAAAUUUCAAACUUGCACAAGACAGUUCACAGAAUUGCAGGAAAUAAACUUUAAAACAGAUGUUUUUUUCUCUCCAACGUCAGGAGGGGGGGGCACUAAAAUAUUUUGCAGUGAGGUAGUGGGGCCCCCAAAAGGCUACUGCCGGCCCUGGAGAUCUGGAUACAAUGCAGCUAGAUAAUAAACUAACGAAGCAGCUGGAAGAAAUACUGGUGGCUAUGACAGAAGCCAAACGUGAGUUGGCUUGGGGGUGUGGUUUGACGUCCUUGCCACCACCAAGACACACCCAUCUGUCAGAACCUUGCCUGCAGCUGUUUCCUCCCCACUCAUUCACAACAAACAAACCUCCUGUAGAUUCAGUUCAAUAACUACAGGCAGAUGUAUGGUGAGAUGCCAGAGGAAGCUUUGACUAGGUCAGUAGUCUACAGAGUAAUAUGAGAAGAAUGCAAUUGUUGAAUUUAUGUAGAUAUUCUAAACUAAGUGUUUUGAUAACUUUCAAUUGUAGUAACAGCUCCAUGUAGAAUAAACAAGCCUUU
ensembl:lncRNA